CACUGCACUUCGGGAUAGGCCUGGGAAACUGGGUCUAAUACCGGAUAGGAGCCAUUUUUAGUGUGAUGGUUGGAAAGUUUUUUCGGUGUAGGAUGAGCUCGCGGCCUAUCAGCUUGUUGGUGGGGUAAUGGCCUACCAAGGCGUCGACGGGUAGCCGGCCUGAGAGGGUGUACGGCCACAUUGGGACUGAGAUACGGCCCAG
rnacentral:rRNA from 1 species